rnacentral:tRNA from 1 species
AGCUCCAUCGUCUAGUGGUCAAGGACGGCGGCCUCUGGAGCCGCAAACGCCAGUUCGAAUCUGGCUGGAGCUA